AACGAACGCUGGCGGCAUGCCUAACACAUGCAAGUCGAACGAGACCUUCGGGUCUAGUGGCGCACGGGUGCGUAACGCGUGGGAACCUGCCCUUAGGUUCGGAAUAACUCCCCGAAAGGGGUGCUAAUACCGGAUAAUGUCUUCGGACCAAAGAUUUAUCGCCUUUGGAUGGGCCCGCGUUGGAUUAGCUGGUUGGUAGGGUAAAAGCCUACCAAGGCGACGAUCCAUAGCUGGUCUGAGAGGAUGAUCAGCCACACUGGGACUGAGACACGGCCCAGACUCCUACGGGAGGCAGCAGUGGGGAAUAUUGGACAAUCGGCGAAAGCCUGAUCCAGCAAUGCCGCGUGAGUGAUGAAGGCCUUAGGGUUGUAAAGCUCUUUUACCCGGGAUGAUAAUGACAGUACCGGGAGAAUAAGCUCCGGCUAACUCCGUG
rnacentral:rRNA from 1 species